rnacentral:rRNA from 1 species
GAUGAACGCUGGCGGCGUGCCUAAUACAUGCAAGUCGAGCGAACAGACGAGGAGCUUGCUCCUCUGACGUUAGCGGCGGACGGGUGAGUAACACGUGGAUAACCUACCUAUAAGACUGGGAUAACUUCGGGAAACCGGAGCUAAUACCGGAUAAUAUAUUGAACCGCAUGGUUCAAUAGUGAAAGACGGUUUUGCUGUCACUUAUAGAUGGAUCCGCGCCGCAUUAGCUAGUUGGCAAGGUAACGGCUUACCAAGGCAACGAUGCGUAGCCGACCUGAGAGGGUGAUCGGCCACACUGGAACUGAGACACGGUCCAGACUCCUACAGGAGGCAGCAGUAGGGAAUCUUCCGCAAUGGGCGAAAGCCUGACGGAGCAACGCCGCGUGAGUGAUGAAGGUCUUCGGAUCGUAAAACUCUGUUAUUAGGGAAGAACAAAUGUGUAAGUAACUAUGCACGUCUUGACGGUACCUAAUCAGAAAGCCACGGCUAACUACGUG